GACAGAGGGUGCAAACGUUGCUCGGAUUUACUGGGCGUAAAGCGCGUGUAGGCGGAUGGGUAAGUCAGAUGUGAAAUCCCUGGGCUCAACCUAGGAACUGCACCUGAAACUGCCCAUCUGGAGUAGUGGAGAGGAGAGCGGAAUUCCUGGUGUAGAGGUGAAAUUCGUAGAUAUCAGGAGGAACACCGGUGGCGAAGGCGGCUACCUGGACAAUUGCUGACGCUCAGGCACGAAAGCGUGGGGAGCAAACAGG
rnacentral:rRNA from 1 species